rnacentral:rRNA from 1 species
GAUGAGGCAUGCAAGUCGAACGGAAUAAUGACUUCGGUUGUUAUUUAGUGGCGGAAGGGUUAGUAAUACAUAGAUAAUCUGUCCUCAACUUGGGAAUAACGGUUGGAAACGACCGCUAAUACCGAAUGUGGUAUGUUUAGGCAUCUAAAACAUAUUAAAGAAGGGGAUCUUCGGACCUUUCGGUUAAGGGAGAGUCUAUGGGAUAUCAGCUUGUUGGUGGGGUAAUGGCCUACCA